rnacentral:rRNA from 1 species
CUGCUGCCUUCCGUAGGAGUUUGGGCCGUGUCUCAGUACCAGUGUGGGGGGCCUUCCUCUCAGAACCCCUACGCAUCGUCGCCUCGGUGGGCCGUUACCCCGCCGACUAGCUAAUGCGCCGCAUGCCCAUCCGUGGCCGGGAUUGCUCCCUUUGGCGGCCUUGGGAUGUCCCUAGGCCGCGUUACGCGGUAUUAGACGGGGUUUCCCCCGCUUAUCCCCCUGCCACGGGCAGGUUGCAUACGUGUUACUCACCCGUGCGCCGGUCGCCGGCAACGG